GCCCAUUCAAGUUGGCAGUAAGGAGAAAAAGAUCUACCAGGCAAGUGCCUGCAAGUCAUAGUACCUCAGGGAUUCCAAUCAACAUUUGCUUGCUGGUGAGUGGUUCUACUUCAAGUUAAGAAACAAAUUCUCAUGGCAAACUGCUUGGAUACUGUUUCCCAAAAGUUAGAAGAACCAAGCCUGCAAGGUGGCAUGGAUUCCUCCGGAAGGACUCCACCCAACUUUGGUCUCAGCAGGUUCAAGAGUAAGGGAAGGAAGAAAGGAAAAAAACCCAGUGGAGAAAGAGAAUGACUCGGGAAAAAUAAAAACAGACAUGAAAAGAGAAAGCCA
rnacentral:lncRNA from 1 species